CACCUGAAACAGUGCCUGAAAUAAUAUUCAGGGAUUUAUCAGUCAUUGUUUUGGGUGGA
rnacentral:pre_miRNA from 1 species